rnacentral:lncRNA from 1 species
GUCUCCCGCCCCCCGCCCCGCCGCCGCCAGCCCCGCAGCGGGGCUGUCGCACGCCGCCGCGCCGGCAGGGACCCGGCUCUCGCCUCUCUCGCUUCUCUCGGCUGGCGCUGGCAGCCCCGCCGGGUUCAUGCGAGGACAGCGGCGGCUCCGAGCCGCGGCUCGUCUGCCUGCCAACGCCGCGGCGAGGCUGAUGCUGCCGCCACGGCCGGGGGGUGACUCAGGGCGGCCCGCGGCAGCCGCUGAUUAGCGGAUCAGAGAGCUGGGCACGUCGCGGCCGCUCCCCGCCGCCUUCCCCCGGUCACAUCAUCCUGCCCCCACACCUCCCUGUCCCCCACCGCGGCCCUUCCGAGCCGGGGGAGAGCCCCGCCGGCACCCCGGGGGUCCGGCCGGCGGCCGGCAGCGCUCCCGGAGGCGCCCGCCUCAACACAGAAAAUCCUUCCUGCAGCAUGGGCCAGGUUAUACCGGAUGUCUCAUACAGGCCAGUAUCUUAUUCCAUGCAUGACUUACUCAUGUUGCAAAAGCAGGGUGAGUAAUGGGUGCUGGAAUUUAGCUCAAUAUUACAUUUUGCAUCUUGGGUUUCUGUAAUAGGUUCAUGAAGUUCACAGACUACUGCUAGUAAUUUUUCUGUGUUCCUGCUCUUUUUUUUUUUUUUUUUUCCCAGAGACCUUCUCUGGUCCUGGAGAACUUGAAAACUUUGCAAAAUGUUGUGGAAUUAUAUCAAAAUAUUCCAAGCACUGUACAAACACAUAGGGUGUAUUUGUGAUGCAAAGAGGGAAAGACCAGAGUUUUACUGUGCAUGAUCCCUUAUGGUUCUAGGCCUGUUGAUCAGCAAAAGUUUGCAGCAGCUUUAGGUCUUAAGUGUGCAUCAGGUUUAUAGAGGAGAAGCAGUGCUGGACUACUCACAUUACAAGUGGGAUGCUUUAUAUAAUGCCCUGCAGUGUUAGACAAGGAGAAAAAUUGCCUCCAUAUACCAGAUGUUCUAGAGUGGUGUCCCGUGAUGCCACAGGACUACAAGUACAUGAGCAAACUUGCAGUAAAAAGAAGCUCUCCAAUGCACUAAGCUGCUGAUGUAGCAUGCAAAAUAAAAAAUUGUCCUGGUCCA